GAUGAACGCUAGCGGCCGGCCUAAUACAUGCAAGUCGAACGGGAUCUGAGGGUAGCUUGCUACCCGAUUUGAGAGUGGCGCACGGGUGCGUAACGCGUGAGCAACCUACCCAUAUCAGGGGGAUAGCCCGGAGAGAUUCGGAUUAACACCGCAUAAGAAUGCAUUAACACAUGUUAAAGCAUUUAAAUAUUCAUAGGAUAUGGAUGGGCUCGCGUGACAUUAGCUAUUUGGUAAGGGAAAGGCUCACAAAGGCGACGAUGUCUAGGGGCUCUGGGAGGAGAAUCCCCCACACUGGUACUGAGACACGGACCAGACUCCUACGGGAGGCAGCAGUAAGGAAUAUUGGUCAAUGGGCGGAAGCCUGAACCAGCCAUGCCGCGUGCAGGAUGACUGCCCUAUGGGUUGUAAACUGCUUUUGUCGAGGAAUAAACCUAUCUACGUGUAGCUAGUUGAACGUACUCGAAGAAUAAGGAUCGGCUAACUCCGUGCCAGCAGCCGCAGUAA
rnacentral:rRNA from 1 species